AUUGAACGCUGGCGGCAGGCCUAACACAUGCAAGUCGAGCGGCAGCGGGAAAGUAGCUUGCUACUUUUGCCGGCGAGCGGCGGACGGGUGAGUAAUGCCUGGGGAUCUGCCCAGUCGAGGGGGAUAACUACUGGAAACGGUAGCUAAUACCGCAUACGCCCUACGGGGGAAAGCAGGGGACCUUCGGGCCUCGCGCGAUUGGAUGAACCCAGGUGGGAUUAGCUAGUUGGUGAGGUAACGGCUCACCAAGGCGACGAUCCCUAGCUGGUCUGAGAGGAUGAGCAGCCACACGGGAAAUGAGACACGGUCCAGACUCCUACGGGAGGCAGCAGUGGGGAAUAUUGCACAAUGGGGGAAGCCCUGAUGCAGCCAUGCCGCGUGUGUGAAGAAGGCCUUCGGGUUGUAAAGCACUUUCAGCGAGGAGGAAAGGUUGGUAGCUAAUAACUGCCAGCUGUGACGUUACUCGCAGAAGAAGCACCGGCUAACUCCGUGCCAGCAGCCGCAGUAAUAC
rnacentral:rRNA from 1 species